rnacentral:misc_RNA from 1 species
GAAGUGCGAUAAGCAAUGUGAAUUGCAGAAUUCAGUGAAUCAUCAGACCUUUGAACGCAACUUGCAGUGUUGGGUAAGCCAGCACUAUAUCUGUUUCAGUGCCUUUAAUGAACCCUCAAAACUUAUUAAUUGUUUUUAACUAAACAUUAAUAACUUUUGGAUAAUGAGCGUCAGUUAUUAAUUACUGUCGCUUCAAACGUAUGGCCUGGGACCACACUAAUGCUUCCAUCCCGCAAUGUAGUAGUCACACUCACGUGUGAAUCUCAUUGCGCGGUAGCAGUGGCUUUCCUGCACGGCUGAGAAACAAAACUCAUUCAAACUAAGGCCUGAAAUCAGGUAAGACUACCCGCUGAAUUUAA